GAGAGAGAGAGAGAGUUCUCUCCUGCUUACACCAUAACUUAGAACGAGUCCAAUAAGCAAGCGAAAUAAUAAACCAUUUCAAAGAAAAAAAACGAACGUAAACCAACUACCGCCUUUGAGAGAGACGAGGGGGGAGGAAAAAGGGGGGGAUGGGGGAGUUAAAUACCCUAAUAUGGAAAACUCACUAUCAUAAAUAAAAGAAACCUCUCAGCCUCAUUAUACAAUUCCCAUCAUAAUUAUAGUACUAUUUCAAAAAGCAAGCUAAACAAUAAACCAAGAUCUGCCAUGCCGGUACCGGUAGGCGUACUGGUCGCCUAAUGGACCAGCACGGUUUCGGUUCGGACCAGUUUAAACUGGUACCGAACCGGAACACUCUUUCAAGCCGGAGAAGAAGAGAACAAGAGAGCGAGCGGGGGAGGGAGGGAGGAGAGGCCGCCCGCGAAGGCCCUCCCCCCCCCGGGGAGGGGGUGAGCCCGUAAAGGCGCAGCCGCAGUUUUUUAAUUUAAGAAUUUUUAAGUAAAGUCGGCAAAUCAUUUGCCUCUGCCGCCGCCCCCCUCCUGCCCCGCGGCCUCCGUCGGCCCCCCCGCGGGUGGCGGAGGCCUCUCCUCCUUCCCUCUCUUGCCCGCUGUCUCUCUCUCCUUCUCUUCGUCUUCUCCAGCUCCGGCUAGGUCCGGCCCAUACCGGUUUUCACUGCUCAAGCAUACCGGUUACAUGCUGGACCGAUCCGAAUCGGACGGUACAGGCCGGUUCAUCAGACUAUGCAAUAAACAAUUUCAGAUAAAACGAAAACUGGAAGGUACACCAAAUUGGGAAUUUUAAAGGGGAUCAAAUACUCUCAUAUGGAAAGCCAUUACAAUAAACAUUUUGCAAAUCAUAUUUUGUACAGAUGCAUGCAUAUUGACAGACAAAUACAUGUAACGUCACAGACAAAUUUGUUGCAGCACAUGUUUAUGUGGGUGAUUGCAUGGAGAAAGCUACAAUACUAUUAUACUGGGAGGAAAUGAGUGCCAAAAAAAUCAUUACUGCAAAUAAAUGACUGGCCAUCUAUAAUUACACACCACUCAUUAUGCUCUGCAAUUUAAAUUGCCUAAAAAGCGUAAGCUAGAUUUCUGAAGAUUUCUUAUACAAGAAUUAAGUGCUGUCCAAAUAGACAUUUUUAAUUCUAGAACACAACAAGCUAAUUCAAUCUUUAAUUUUGAAGUGAUUAAACUCACAGUUUCACUGGACCAAAGGUACAGUUCCUUGUUAUAUAUGACCCACCAUGUAGUUUGAUAUCUAAGUUCUAUCACUAUUUUUCCACUUCUUUUUUCCUGCUUGGUAUAAAGAAGCCUUUAACAAAUAGAGAUGUUGUAAAUUAUGAUCAACAGUGUAGAUUUUAAUUCCGAGGAUUGUUAUGCAUGCAUAAAUGCAUAUAUCUAUCUAUCGAUAAAUUGGUAGAGAGAGAGAGAGAGAGAGGCACACUGAUGCAUACAUGUUGCCGUGAAAAUUAUAUAUCAAUUAAAUACCUUAUCUUUAUUCUAGCAAUUUACUAUUUAUCCAGGAAGCUGAACCAUAUACUGCAAACUAUAUUUAGCAAGUUGCUUCUACUGACUACCAUAUGCAACUGAAAGGUUGGCCUUAAAGUGCUCAACUGCCACACAAGCUUGACAAAAUCAUGCCAUAAAAAAUGAGCAACACAUACCUGUGCCCUGCAUGUUGAAAGAAUAAACCAGGAGGUGAAUUGGGCAUCCUCGUUCCAACACGUUCCUUCUUCUUGCCAACCU
rnacentral:lncRNA from 1 species